rnacentral:rRNA from 1 species
GAUGAACGCUGGCGGCGUGCCUAAUACAUGCAAGUCGAGCGAACGGACGAGAAGCUUGCUUUUCUGAUGUUAGCGGCGGACGGGUGAGUAACACGUGGAUAACCUACCUAUAAGACUGGGAUAACUUCGGGAAACCGGAGCUAAUACCGGAUAAUAUUUUGAACCGCAUGGUUCAAAAGUGAAGGAUGGUCUUGCUGUCACUUAUAGAUGGAUCCGCGCUGCAUUAGCUAGUUGGUAAGGUAACGGCUUACCAAGGCAACGAUGCAUAGCCGACCUGAGAGGGUGAUCGGCGACACUGGAACUGAGACACGGUCCAGACUCCUACGGGAGGCAGCAGUAGGGAAUCUUCCGCAAUGGGCGAAAGCCUGACGGAGCAACGCCGCGUGAGUGAUGAAGGUCUUCGGAUCGUAAAACUCUGUUAUUAGGGAAGAACAUAUGUGUAAGUAACUGUGCACAUCUUGACGGUACCUAAUCAGAAAGCCACGGCUAACUACGUG